rnacentral:rRNA from 1 species
AAGACCUUACGCUUUUGGAGCGGCCGAUGUCUGAUUAGCUUGUUGGUGAGGUAAAGGCUUACCAAGGCUUCGAUCAGUAGCUGGUCUGAGAGGACGACCAGCCACACUGGGACUGAGACACGGCCCAGACUCCUACGGGAGGCAGCAGUGGGGAAUUUUGGACAAUGGGGGAAACCCUGAUCCAGCCAUGCCGCGUGAGUGAAGAAGGCCUUCGGGUUGUAAAGCUCUUUCAGCCGGAACGAAACGGUUACGAUUAAUACCUGUAACUACUGACGGUACCGGAAGAAGAAGCACCGGCUAACUACGUGCCAGCAGCCGCGGUAAUACGUAGGGUGCGAGCGUUAAUCGGAAUUACUGGGCGUAAGGCGUGCGCAGGUGGUUUUGUAAGUCAGAUGUGAAAUCCCCGGGCUUAACCUGGGAACU